rnacentral:rRNA from 1 species
GACGAACGCUGGCGGCGUGCCUAAUACAUGCAAGUAGAACGCACAGUUUAUACCGUAGCUUGCUACACCAUAGACUGUGAGUUGCGAACGGGUGAGUAACGCGUAGGUAACCUGCCUGGUAGCGGGGGAUAACUAUUGGAAACGAUAGCUAAUACCGCAUAAUAUUAAUUAUUGCAUGAUAAUUAAUUGAAAGGUGCAAUUGCACCACUACCAGAUGGACCUGCGUUGUAUUAGCUAGUAGGUGAGGUAACGGCUCACCUAUGCGACGAUACAUAGCCGACCUGAGAGGGUGAUCGGCCACACUGGGACUGAGACACGGCCCAGACUCCUACGGGAGGCAGCAGUAGGGAAUCUUCGGCAAUGGACGAAAGUCUGACCGAGCAACGCCGCGUGAGUGAAGAAGGUUUUCGGAUCGUAAAGCUCUGUUGUAAGAGAAGAACGGGUGUGAGAGUGGAAAGUUCACACUGUGACGGUAUCUUACCAGAAAGGGACGGCUAACUACGUG